AAUUCUCAACCUAACCAACUUUUGGAUAGGCUUGGAUCGUGGGGGCUUUUGCUGGCUUCAACCCCUCAGAAGUCAGCUCCCCUUAAACGCAUUAGUGGAACGAUUUGUUGACCUUGUUUCCUGGUGUGAUAAAACCUUUAUCACCACCGUGUGCAGUCAGCUUACUCUGCUUCUAACCGAUUUUCAUUCACUCUUGACCAUUUGACCUCAAAUCAGGUAGGACU
rnacentral:rRNA from 1 species